rnacentral:lncRNA from 1 species
UUUUCUCUUCAUCAUCCAUAUGUCAUAGACAUAUCUCUCUAUCUUCCUCCUAUGACAUAAAAAUAUACAAAUAUAACACACAUAAUUAGCAAGAAGAAAACAAAAACUUGCAUAUGGGUGGUAGUAGUAGUAGUGGUAGUAGUAGUUCUUUCCCUCCAAGUUUCUUUAAAGCACUUCUUGUGGUGGGGCUUGUUUGUCUUCUUGUUUUGGGAAGCUUAGGUAGUGGUGAAGGAACAAGACAUCCAACUACACAAUGGUCUCAAGAAAGGGUCAAGCAUGAACGAGUGGUUGGUAGAGAUAAGCCUGUGGACAGUGCAGAAUUGGAUUUCAACUACAUGAGCAAAAGAAGAGUUCCCAAUGGACCAGAUCCUAUUCACAACAGGUUUGUCUACCUUUUCUUAACCCAAAUAAGAUACACAGAUUAUAUAAUAUUUUGUUUAUCAUCCAUGUGUGUCUUUUGAUUUCAACUUAUGUCACUGUUCUUUACUUAAUUAGAUGUGUAUUAUGUUUGUUCAACGGUUUCUGCCACCAAGACAUGCAUUUCUUUUGAUAACAAGACAUAGUAGGUAUAUAUGUAGUAAGUUUACUAUAUGAUUUGUAUUAUAAUAUUGUUAGAAAUUCAAGUGUGAAAGAGAAAGAAUGUGCAAACUAAGUAAGGAACAUAUAAAUAUAUACGUGUUUUUGGCUCCCCUGUUCCUAUCAUGGAUAUGAGGUCACCCCUGUUACUUGGCAAAUAUUUAUCUUUUUCCCCAACUCAAUUUAAAAUUUCCAUUGGAUUAUUUUCAAAUAUAGUAGUAUUAUACUACUGUUAAGGUGUUUGGUUCCACGUGUCAGACAUGAUUUUUUAAGUUUACUAAGAAGCUAAUAAUUUUAACUUCAAUGUCCUAGACGUGAGUUUUUACUUCUCAACGGAUUUUCAGACAUGUUUUCAUGUCUCUUGCGAAAUAAAACUCAUCAAUUUCAAGUUUAGUGGUUCCUGCCAAAGUGAAGCUUAACACAAAAGGAUGAAAAGCCAACUAUGGGGGAUUGAUUACCAUGCUUUUAACUGUUACAUUGAAUUGUUGAUUUAAAUUCUUUUAACAUGGAUACUUCUUUAUAAUAGAUUAAUACAUAUAAAGCCAUAAAAAAGAAAGAUAACUCCAUCUAACAACUUUAUUCCACUUCUUAAUUAAUCAUGAGCAACUAAAGUUAUUCAUGUCAUUCGGUUCUCUCUUCAUUAAGAAACUUUUUUAACCUUUUCUUGGUUGUCUUUCUUUAUUUCUAUUAGCACAAGACACAAGCAUGCAUGGAGUGAGACCUACUAUGAAACUAUGUCAUAAAUAUUGGUUUCUUGUCCAUGCAAUUUUUCUACUAUAAAUUGUAUCAAUUUGCAUAAUUAUUUUGCUUAAAAUUUUGUUUGAUAAUUUUGUUCAGGAGAGCUGGAAAUUCUGGCCGACCCCCUGGCCAAGCUUAGAAGUAACAAGGGAAGCUAGACAAGCUUCAGCAACCAUGCAAAAGAUGACACAAAAAUGUUAAUUAGCCAUGUACUUGUGAGAGAACUGAGAGUAGCUUCAUAUAUAUAAAAAUCCCCUGACUCUGACCUUCUUAGAAUUCUGUAGCUUGCAAGCAAGGGCUAAUCUCUAACUUGCGGAAAUUAAAUUUGUUAUGGGAAGAGUUGUUUGAGGCCUAACGAGGUAAGAAAAAAAAGGAAGGAAGCUUGUCCCACAUGAAAAAUAACCUCAAAAGAUAGUUUGAUCAGUUUCUACAGAAACUGCAAUUUAGUGAGAGUUUUUUUUUUUUUUUUGUGAACUUAAUGUGAUGAGAGGGUGGGUGGGGGGGCUAGCUGUGUCACAAAUUUCAAUGGAAUUGAGAUCAGUGCUUGCAUGUAAAGCAAUUAACGUACCUUUAAAGUUUAAAAGCCAAGAAAGAUGUAUGUACAAGAUGUUGUAGCAACAGCAGAAGCCAUGCAUGCUUUUGGAGGACUUAUACAAGUUCUCUAUGUUAAGGGGGGAAAAAAACAAAGGGUCUUGGCUUUGGUUUGCUCACUACUAUGUUUGGAAUUUUCUGUUUCUUGUUUUUGUUUUUUAUUAUUAUUUAUUGUAAAGAUUAGCCAUGAGCUCCUAAAGUAAAAGUAAAUUCCACCAUUUUAAAGGUGUUGGUGCACCUGUAAAAGAAGGGUGUUUGCAUCUUGUGUUAGUCUUUUUCACUAGAUUCUUUGGUGGGGAUGGUGAAACUGAUUGAUCU